GGUCCGUUAAGCUCAGUCGGUAGAGCGUCGUGCUGAUACGCGGAAGGGUCGAGAGUUCGAGCCUCUCAUGGACCU
rnacentral:tRNA from 1 species